GGAGAAGCAGGCUCCAUGCCGGGAGCCCGACGCGGGAGUCGACCCCAGGACUCCAGGAUCGCGCCCUGGGCCAAAGGCAGGCGCCAAACCGCUGAGCCACCCAGGGAUCCCCCUUCCUCUCCUUUCUAAAUAAAACCGGUAUUUGCGUGGUACACGUGCUGACCGCUACUCUGCUGAGCUCGCUGAAAGGACCUUUCCUUCCUGAACCUCUGUAAGGAGGUCACUUCUACUUUCGGUUGUGAACUCAUGCCGAUGUCCCCUCGCUGGUCUCUGGCACGGCCAGUCCCCUCCGCGGGCCCUGCACGAGCCUCGCCCCAGCGUCCGUGAACGGCACGGCUCACCAACACAGGCACACCUGGCUCUGUGGCAGGUGAAACUACCUGAACUUCACUUUCUAAGCCUGUUGAGAAGAAUAUAAGAGAGAAAACAGAAGAGUCACUGUCCUUCAGAGGCGUCACUGUGAAGACAGCAUCAAAUGAAAAAUGCUGAAACUGAAAAGGAACGCUGGUAUUUUCCCAUUUUGGGUUUCUGCCCGGGUGGGAAAGAGAAAGGGGCCCGUGACUGGCGGAUGGCAGGCGCUCGGCAGGAACGGGCGGAAGGCAGAGGGAGCGGCAUAUGGAGCAGGUCAGGCAGGGGGCAGGAUAUUCUGAGUUGCAAUAGAUUGCAGAAACUAUAAGGUUUAAGCAAUGAAUCACACAAGAUCCUAAUGGGAUUGCUGUUACAUAAAUUGUGCUGAGAAAGCGCAGACUCUGCCAAGAAAAGGCAAAUCGUUGUCGAGCCUAAUGUGCUUCAGCUACCUAAAUAUAACAGAAAAUCCACCCUGGGCUUAGCGAUGAUCCUGGCGCUCAGGGCCACGUUAAGGGCCUGGAGACGGAGGAGCUGGCCCCGAGGGCCGGUCCUCUGAGCCACGGGGGAUAAGCUAUCCGCUGGCAGACCACCUGAACGCCAGAUGCUCGCGAAUCCCUGCUUCUCGGGGCGCUUACUGUGGCCCACGCUCCAGGGUCACCCAAGGAGGGGCGUCUCUGCCUGGAGUUACGGGCCCCCUCCGCCGAGGAUGGUGGCAAAGGUGGAUGAGACACAGUCCCUUCUGCUGUCAUCAGGAGAGUUGCCAUCGUGGUCUAGUUACAGAUCUGAACUCAGGACGGCAAAAUGGUCCAACUUCCUAGCCCCCGUGUGAGGCAGAGCCUGUGAGGCAGCACCGAUCUCUUCUCUCUCACACACCGGGCUCUGGACUCCAGCAAACCUGGUGUCUUGCAGGUGCAGAGACAGCACCGACUUGUACGACCACCCAGCGAGCUCAGCCCGAAUGACUUCAGCUAAGGAAUGAUUUCAUCUUGAUCCCACCCUCCUGGUUUGAGGGCGCAGCGUCUGGCAGACAGGAAGCCUCACUGGCUGUGGGGCCCCUUCUCCGCCAGCACAGACGGGCUUCCUCGCAGACACGGUCAGCCGGGCCGCAUGCGUCUGUCCCCUAGAACCUAGAAGGCCUGCGUCCAAAAUCGGCCCUGCGUCGAACACAACCAGAUGAGGUCCCUCUGAACCUCUAGCUCUCGCCACCUCUCAUCAGUUGCCCAGAGAAUGAGACACGGCGGUGGCGCCGAGGCCAGCCUCCUGCGGUAGGGACAGGGCGCCCCGGCUACUGUGGCUGUGCAAGCAUCUGACUGCUCCCCUGACAGAACCGGUCUCCUCCGCAGUCACACUCUUCCUUAGACCCUCCUCCAGGGCCAGCCCCCUGCUGCAGAGCCCACCCGGCCCGGGCGCCCCACGUCUGGCAGAGCGAGGUUUCUCACUGACGACACACUGUCGCCCGUGGGCAGCAUGCGGCCACUGGGACCGACUGGGGGACUGUAAUGUAUGGGGACAAGCGGGCAGGAGCCGUGACGGUCUGGGCCUGGAGCCGGUUAACAGAGAGGCUGUGGAGAACGUCCUGGAAGCCGGACAGCAGCAGGGCUGACACCCUUGUUCCAACAGGAACGUACAUAUGAGGGCAAAUGGCAACUAAGUGGCUGCUAAUGUUCAGGAAGGAAACGGGGGAUGGAGCGGGCCCGAGGAAGUCAGGGGCCAACGGUGACGUUCUCUGUUCAGGCGGGGAGCAAGCCGUCAGAGUCCAGCUUGGGAGUCCAGGCUGUUCUAACGAGUGAGGGAUCCAGUUUACUGCCCUAAGUGCAAACUGUCUAUCUGAUUAGAAUGAAUUUUUAAGUGGUUUUGGGAAAUUCCAGGAUUGAGGUUUAACAUGGUAAUAUGGCAACAGAUUGCUGGUAUAAAUAUUAUUUUUCUGAAAUUCAAAUUCCACAUUUAUUCCAAGAAAACCACAAAGGAACUGCCCAAAAUCUGUCAAACCAAAGACAUUAACAUUUGUGAAAGUAAUAAUCUAAUGCCUCAUGUUUACAAAGCACAUUUCAAAUAAUCCUUCCAGCCUAUCACUCCUUUGACCUCACGCAUCCCCAAGACAGUGGGCAGGAAAGGUAUUUUCAAUUUUGUUUCACUCCUGGGGGAGACCCAGGCCUGAAAGUGCAGCAAUUUUCCCUAAGGCCCACCAUGAAUGGCGGACAGUCUCUGUAUGAUCUGAAGCAAUCUUGUGACUCUCCUUUGUUAAGGGGAGGUGCGGGGUGAAGCAGCUUUGGAUCUGGAGUCAGAAAGCUUGGGUUUGCAUUCCUGGAGGUCCAGUUCUGCUACGUAUAAGCUCUACAACCAUAAGCAAGACACCUUUUUUGAGUUUUACAUUUCUCAUCUAUAAAAUGUGGCUAAUCCUACCUCUUCCACAGGCUUUUUCAGAGAACAAAAUGGGAUAAAGGGUAUGAAAUUGUGAA